rnacentral:misc_RNA from 1 species
CUGCAGCUGCUGCAGGGG